rnacentral:rRNA from 1 species
AUUGAACGCUGGCGGCAUGCCUUACACAUGCAAGUCGAACGGUAACAGGUCUUCGGAUGCUGACGAGUGGCGAACGGGUGAGUAAUACAUCGGAACGUGCCUAGUAGUGGGGGAUAACUACUCGAAAGAGUGGCUAAUACCGCAUGAGAUCUACGGAUGGAAGCAGGGGAUCGCAAGACCUUGUGCUACUAGAGCGGCCGAUGGCAGAUUAGGUAGUUGGUGGGAUAAAAGCUAACAAAGCCGACGAUCUUCAGACGGGCUGAGAGGACAAUCACAGACAGUGGUACUGAAACACGGGCCAGAAUCCUACGGGAGGCAGAAGUGGGGAAUUUUGGACAUUGGACGAAAGCUUGCUCCAGCAUUGCCGCGUGCAGGAUGAGGGCCUUCGGGUUGUAAACUGCUUUUGUACGGAACGAAAAGCCCCGGGUUAAUACCCUGGGGUCAUGACGGUACCGUAAGAAUAAGCACCGGCUAACUACGUGCCAGCCGCCGCCGUAA